rnacentral:misc_RNA from 1 species
AGCAGCCGCGGUAAUUCCAGCUCCAAUAGCGUAUAUUAAAGUUGCUGCAGUUAAAAAGCUCGUAGUUGAAUUUCGGGACUAAUAUGUCGGUCGUGCCUCGGUACGUACUGGUUUAUUGGUUUCUCCUUUCUGAAGAACCAUGAUGUCAUUUAUUUGGUGUCGUGGGGAAUCAGGACUGUUACUUUGAAAAAAUUAGAGUGUUUAAAGCAGGCUCACGCUUGAAUACAUUAGCAUGGAAUAAUGAAAUAGGACGUUUGAUUCUAUUUUGUUGGUUUCUAGGAUCGACGUAAUGAUUAAUAGGGAUAGUUGGGGGCAUUAGUAUUCAAUUGUCAGAGGUGAAAUUCUUGGAUUUAUUGAAGACUAACUACUGCGAAAGCAUUUGCCAAGGAUGUUUUCAUUAAUCAAGAACGAAAGUUAGGGGAUCGAAGACGAUCAGAUACCGUCGUAGUCUUAACCAUAA